CCUACAGGUGGCAGCAGUGAGGAAUAUUGGUCAAUGGACGAGAGUCUGAACCAGCCAAGUAGCGUGAAGGAUGACUGCCCUAUGGGUUGUAAACUUUUUUUAUAAAGGAAUAAAACGAGGCACGUGUGCCUUUUUGCAUGUACUUCUUGAUUAAGGAUCGGCUAAUUCCGUGCCAGCAGCCGCGGUAAUCCGGAGGAUCCGAGCGUUAUCCGGAUUUAUUGGGUUUAAAGGGAGCGUAGAUGGGUUGUUAAGUCAGUUGUGAAAGUUUGCGGCUCAACCGUAAAAUUGCACUUGAUACUGGCAGUCUGGAGUGCAGUUGAGGUAGGCGGAAUUCGUGGUGUAGCGGUGAAAUGCUUAGAUAUCACGAAGAACCCCGAUUGCGAAGGCAGCUUACUAAACUGUAACUGACGUUGAGGCUCGAAAGUGUGGGUAUCAAACAGGAUUAGAUACCCCGGUAGUC
rnacentral:rRNA from 1 species